CGCCCGUCACACCAUGGGAGCUGGUAAUGCCCGAAGUCGGUUUUGUUAACUACGGAGACAACUGCCUAAGGCAGGACUGGUGACUGGGGUGAAGUCGUAACAAGGUAUCCCUACGAGAACGUGGGGAUGGAUUACCUCCUUUCUACAGAGUACAAUAAUCGUUCUUACGAUGAUACAACCUUAACAAGACUAUUUCAUAUUUAAUAAUUUAAGCGUCAUGUACAAAGUUAAUAGUCCUUUGAUAUAUCUAGUUUUGAGAGAACUUUCUCUCUUAAUGUUCUUUGAAAACUGAAUAGUAAAGAUAUUACAACGACAUCAAAUUGUAAAUAAAUUAAUAAAAUGGUUAAUUUGUUUUGAUAUUGAUACCGAGUAAUUAUUAUGUAAAAAUAAUAAUUUAUUGAAAUGUCUUUGAAUAUACAUCAACAAUAGGUCAUAUUGUUACAACUUUUAAAUAAGUAAGAGUUUGUGGUGGAUGCCUUGGGUCUGGAAGUCGAUGAAGGACGCGAUUACCUGCGAUAAGCCUCGUGGAGCGGGAUAUGAGCUACGAAACGGGGAUUUCCGAAUGGGGGAACCUAACUAGAGUAAUUUCUAGUUGCUAUAUUCUGAAUACAUAGGAAUAUUUGCGAGACACGUUGUGAACUGAAACAUCUUAGUAGCAACAGGAAGAGAAAAUAAAUAAUGAUUCCAUUAGUAGCGGCGAGCGAAAUUGGAAGAGCCCAAACCACGAUUUAGUGGGGUUGUAGGACUAUCUACACGAAGUUACAAAAUUAUGAUAUAGCAGAAUAAGUUGGGAAACUUAAGCAUAGAAGGUGAUACUCCUGUAUGCGAAAUGUCAUAAUCCUCUGAUAGUAUCCUGAGUAGGGCGAGGCACGUGAAACCUUGUCUGAAUCUACCGGGACCAUCCGGUAAGGCUAAAUACUAACCAGACACCGAUAGCGAACUA
rnacentral:sRNA from 1 species